UGACGUAUGGCGUAGUGGUCAAAGCACUUGACCGGUUUCCAAGAGGCGCGUGUUCACAUCUCGGUACGUUAA
rnacentral:tRNA from 1 species